UACGAAGGGGGCUAGCGUUGUUCGGAAUCACUGGGCGUAAAGGGUGCGUAGGCGGGUCUUUAAGUCAGGGGUGAAAUCCUGGAGCUCAACUCCAGAACUGCCUUUGAUACUGAGGAUCUUGAGUUCGGGAGAGGUGAGUGGAACUGCGAGUGUAGAGGUGAAAUUCGUAGAUAUUCGCAAGAACACCAGUGGCGAAGGCGGCUCACUGGCCCGAUACUGACGCUGAGGCACGAAAGCGUGGGAGCAAACAGG
rnacentral:rRNA from 1 species